UUGUUGGUGUAAGGAGAAUGCCAACUCUAUAAAUUAUAAAAUGAUAAAAUCAUUUGUUACAUGCAAAGAGGGGAUACAUGGCUGGAAUUAUCAAGUUUGUUCAUGUUUUGAUUAUAUUUCUUUCUCUUUUUCAUGUUGUAAAGAAUGACGAUGGUUCUUUUUGUUUUAAAGAUUCUGAUUGUCCAGACGAGAUGUGUCCGUCUCCUUUAAAAGAAAUGUGUUAUUUCCUUCAGUGUAAAUGUGGUGUGGAUACGAUUGCUUAGAUUACGUGACUACAUGAUUAUGUAUUUUUUUUUUGUUACAUCAUGAUUAUGUAUUUAGUGUAACACCCUAAAUCCAGACUUUAAUUUAUUAAAUAAAAGGAUGUUACAAAACUCAUCAUCUGUCAUUCAAUAAAGCAAUAAUAAUUCAUACUUCAACAACGGAAAAUAA